rnacentral:rRNA from 1 species
UGAGGAAUAUUGGUCAAUGGACGAGAGUCUGAACCAGCCAAGUAGCGUGCAGGAUGACGGCCCUAUGGGUUGUAAACUGCUUUUGUUUGGGAAUAAUCGACAUUACGUGUAAUGUUUUGCAUGUACCAUUCGAAUAAGGACCGGCUAAUUCCGUGCCAGCAGCCGCGGUAAUACGGAAGGUCCAGGCGUUAUCCGGAUUUAUUGGGUUUAAAGGGAGUGUAGGCGGUUGGUUAAGCGUGUUGUGAAAUGUAGAUGCUCAACAUCUGACUUGCAGCGCGAACUGGCUGACUUGAGUACACACAACGUAGGCGGAAUUCAUGGUGUAGCGGUGAAAUGCUUAGAUAUCAUGAAGAACUCCGAUUGUGCAGGCAGCUUACUGUAGCAUAACUGACGCUGAUGCUCGAAAGUGCGGGUAUCAAACAGG